rnacentral:rRNA from 1 species
AUUGAACGCUGGCGGCAGGCCUAACACAUGCAAGUCGAACGAGUGGCGGACGGGUGAGUAAUAUAUGGGAAACUGCCUGAUGGCGGGGGAUAACUACUCGAAAAGGUAGCUAAUACCGCAUACCAUCAGAUGUGCCCAGAUGGGAUUAGCUUGUUGGUGGGGUAACGGCUCACCAAGGCGACGAUCCCUAGCUGGUCUGAGAGGAUGACCAGCCACACUGGAACUGAGACACGGACCAGACGCCGACGGGAGGCAGCAGUGGGGAAUUUUGCACAAUGGGCGCAAGCCUGAUGCAGCCAGGCCGCGUGGAUGAAGAAGGCCUUCGGGUUGUAAAGUACUUUCGGCGGGGAGGCGUUAUCCGCAGAAGAAGCACCGGCUAACUCCGUGCCAGCAGCCGCGGUAAUAC